rnacentral:rRNA from 1 species
GACGAACGCUGGCGGCGUGCUUAACACAUGCAAGUCGAGCGGUAAGGCCCUUUCGGGGGUACACGAGCGGCGAACGGGUGAGUAACACGUGGGUGACCUGCCCUCAGCUCUGGGAUAAGCCUGGGAAACCGGGUCUAAUACCGGAUAUGACUCCAUGACGCAUGUUGUGGGGUGGAAAGCCUUGUGCGGCUGAGGAUGGGCCCGCGGCCUAUCAGCUUGUUGGUGGGGUGAUGGCCUACCAAGGCGACGACGGGUAGCCGGCCUGAGAGGGCGACCGGCCACACUGGGACUGAGACACGGCCCAGACUCCUACGGGAGGCAGCAGUGGGGAAGUCUUGCGCAAUGGGCGAAAGCCUGACGCAGCGACGCCGCGUGAGGAUGACGGCU